rnacentral:rRNA from 1 species
GUCGAACGGUAACANNNANCAGCUUGCUGAUUUGCUGACGAGUGGCGGACGGGUGAGUAAUGUCUGGGAAACUGCCUGAUGGAGGGGGAUAACUACUGGAAACGGUAGCUAAUACCGCAUAACGUCGCAAGACCAAAGAGGGGGACCUUCGGGCCUCUUGCCAUCGGAUGUGCCCAGAUGGGAUUAGCUAGUAGGUGGGGUAACGGCUCACCUAGGCGACGAUCCCUAGCUGGUCUGAGAGGAUGACCAGCCACACUGGAACUGAGACACGGUCCAGACUCCUACGGGAGGCAGCAGUGGGGAAUAUUGCACAAUGGGCGCAAGCCUGAUGCAGCCAUGCCGCGUGUAUGAAGAAGGCCUUCGGGUUGUAAAGUACUUUCAGCGGGGAGGAAGGGAGUAAAGUUAAUACCUUUGCUCAUUGACGUUACCCGCAGAAGAAGCACCGGCUAACUCCGUGCCAGCAGCCGCGGUAAUACGGAGGGUGCAAGCGUUAAUCGGAAUUACUGGGCGUAAAGCGCACGCAGGCGGUUUGUUAAGUCAGAUGUGAAAUCCCCGGGCUCAACCUGGGAACUGCAUCUGAUACUGGCAAGCUUGAGUCUCGUAGAGGGGGGUAGAAUUCCAGGUGUAGCGGUGAAAUGCGUAGAGAUCUGGAGGAAUACC